UCCAGCGCAAUUGGCUAGCGCGUUCGACUGUUAAUCGGGAGGUUGAUAGUUCGAGCCUAUCUGGGGGAG
rnacentral:tRNA from 1 species